rnacentral:rRNA from 1 species
UACGUAGGGCGCAAGCGUUGUCCGGAAUUAUUGGGCGUAAGGAGCUCGUAGGCGGCCUGUUGCGUCCGCUGUGAAAUCCCGGGGCUCAACCCCGGGCGUGCAGUGGAUACGGGCUGGCUGGAGGCAGGCAGGGGAGAACGGAAUUCCUGGUGUAGCGGUGAAAUGCGCAGAUAUCGGGAAGAACACCCGUGGCGAAGGCGGCUCUCUGGGACGGUACUGACGCUGAGACGCGAAAGCGUGGGGAGCGAACAGG